rnacentral:tRNA from 1 species
GCCUGGGUGGCUCAGUCGGUUGAGCAUCUGACUUUGACUCAGGUCAUGAUCUCAGUCUGUGUGUUCGAGCCCCGCGUCAGGCU